CGAAAGCCUGACGGAGCAAUACCGCGUGAGGGAUGAAGGAUUUUGGUCUGUAAACCUCUUUUCUCAAGAAAGAAGUUCUGACGGUACUUGAGGAAUAAGCAUCGGCUAACUCCGUGCCAGCAGCCGCGGUAAUACGGGGGAUGCAAGCGUUAUCCGGAAUCAUUGGGCGUAAAGCGCCUGUAGGUUGUUUAGUAAGUCUGUUGUUAAAGACCAGGGCUUAACCCUGGGAAAGCAAUGGAAACUACUAGACUUGAGUAUGGCAGGGGUAGAGGGAAUUUCUAGUGUAGCGGUGAAAUGCGUAGAUAUUAGAAAGAACACCGGCGGCGAAAGCGCUCUACUGGACCAUUACUGACACUCAGAGGCGAAAGCUAGGGGAGCAAAAGGGAUUAGAUACCCCUGUAGUCCUAGCCGUAAACGAUGGAUACUAGAUGUUGCGCAAUUUGUGCAGUAUCUUAGCUAACGCGUUAAGUAUCCCGCCUGGGGAGUACGCUCGCAAGGGUGAAACUCAAAGGAAUUGACGGGGGCCCGCACAAGCGGUGGAGCAUGUGGUUUAAUUCGAUGCAACGCGAAGAACCUUACCAGGGCUUGACAUACUACAAAUCUUUUCGAAACGAAAGAGUGCCUUCGGGAAUGUAGAUACAGGUGGUGCAUGGCUGUCGUCAGCUCGUGUCGUGAGAUGUUGGGUUAAGUCCCGCAACGAGCGCAACCCUCAUUUUUAGUUGCCAAUUUAUUGGGAUUUCUAGAGAGACUGCCGGUGACAAACCGGAGGAAGGUGAGGAUGACGUCAAGUCAGCAUGCCCCUUAUGCCCUGGGCCACACACGUGCUACAAUGGCGAAGACAAAGAGUCGCAAACCUGCGAAGGCUAGCUAAUCUCGUAAACUUCGUCUAAGUUCGGAUUGCAG
rnacentral:rRNA from 1 species